rnacentral:lncRNA from 1 species
GCGCAAAGGAAAACGGCUGUGGUGCUUGUUUACAUCCAGCAUUUACUGGCUUAACGCUAGAAGCUGAGAAGUGGGGAGUGUGGUUCUCAGGAACUUGAACAUGAUUGGCUAGGGGUAACCCUGGCAACGCCAUACUUGGGCAUUUUCCGCCUUGCUUGGGCUGAAACGAGGCUUACGGCCUCUAUCUUGUAGUCUCCGCUUUAGUUUCUGUUUCAAAUCUAGCAAGUUAUGGAGCAAAGAAGUGGAGGAAAAUUAUUUUUCGCUCAGGAGUGGGAGCAGAACACUUGCAGAUUUCGGACCAUUGUGGAUGUACCGUGUUUUUUGGACCGAAAGGCUUUUUUGGAUUAUGCUCGCUGGACCUUAUCGGACAGAAUGAGACCACACUCGACGUGAAUAGACAAUGUUUGGGUUCAGAAGUCGUCAAAAAUGCUGCAGGCGUAAAUAGCUCGAAGCCACCACUCCCAAACAGAAAGACCCGAGGAUUCCGUGUAACUCAUUCAGCCACUGACUUUGCUCCAAAAGGCUUGUGACAAAGUGUCGCCACGUACUGAUCUGCACGGAGGAGAGCUGCUAAUCCAUCAAACUCCUCUUUUGCAUUUCACUGUUAAACCCAAAGCUACAUUAUGUCGUCGCAGUGUAUUUUUUGGUUCUAUACAGUUGAACUUGUUUAAUUAGCAGCCCACAGCCAAGGACGCGCGCAGACGGAAGGUUAAUGGUGAUGUCCUUAUCAAGAACUGACAUUCACAGCUGCCUGUAGAUUAUAUUUCGCUCAGCUGAAGCAGCGCAUCCAUCUGCAGACACAAAACCUGGGCUCCAGCGCUUUACAGCGCGUGGAGGAUUACGCACCUCACGCGAGGAACCUUGAUUAAAUCCCAUGAAAGACUCGAAGGCUCCAUAAACCUUUGUGUUGUGGUUCCAUCGCUGCAGCAGCAGCAUCC